rnacentral:rRNA from 1 species
CGCUGGCGGCGUGCUACACAUGCAAGUCGAACGAGAAAGUGGAGCAAUCCAUGAGUAAAGUGGCGACCGGGUGAGUAACACGUGACUAACCUACCUCCGAGUGGGGAAUAACUCCGGGAAACCGGGGCUAAUACCGCAUAACAUCGCAAGAUCAAAGCAGCAAUGCGCUUGGAGAGGGGGUCGCGGCUGAUUAGCUCGUUGGCGGGGUAACGGCCCACCAAGGCGAAGAUCGGUAUCCGGCCUGAGAGGGCGCACGGACACACUGGAACUGAAACACGGUCCAGACUCCUACGGGAGGCAGCAGUGGGGAAUUUUGCGCAAUGGGGGAAACCCUGACGCAGCAACGCCGCGUGGAGGAUGAAGCCCUUUGGGGCGUAAACUCCUUUCGACUCGGACGAUAAUGACGGUACGAGUGGAAGAAGCACCGGCUAACUCUGUGCCAGCAGCCGCGGUAAUACAGAGGGUGCGAGCGUUGUUCGGAAUUAUUGGGCGUAAAGGGCGCGUANGCGGUGCGGUAAGUCACCUGUGAAAUCUCCUGGCU